UGGGGAAUUUUGCGCAAUGGGCGAAAGCCUGACGCAGCAACGCCGCGUGGGUGAUGAAGGUCUUCGGAUCGUAAAACCCUGUCGUCGGGGACGAAGGUAGGGGGGUUAAUACCCCUUUUGCUUGACGGUACCCGGAGAGGAAGCCCCGGCUAACUCUGUGCCAGCAGCCGCGGUAAUACAGAGGGGGCAAGCGUUAUUCGGAAUUAUUGGGCGUAAAGGGCGCGUAGGCGGUUUUUUAAGUCAGAUGUGUAAUCCCCGAGCUCAACUUGGGAACUGCAUCUGAGACUGGGAGGCUAGAGUACUGGAGAGGGUGGUAGAAUUCCACGUGUAGCGGUGAAAUGCGUAGAGAUGUGGAGGAAUACCAGUGGCGAAGGCGGCCACCUGGACAGUAACUGACGCUGAGGCGCGAAAGUGUGGGUAGCAAACAGG
rnacentral:rRNA from 1 species